CCAGACUCCUACGGGAGGCAGCAGUGAGGAAUAUUGGUCAAUGGGCGGGAGCCUGAACCAGCCAAGCCGCGUGAAGGAAGAAGGCGCCAGGCGUCGUAAACUUCUUUUGUCGGGGAACAAAGGGCGCCACGCGUGGCGUUGUGAGUGUACCCGAAGAAAAAGCAUCGGCUAACUCCGUGCCAGCAGCCGCGGUAAUACGUAGGGGGCAAGCGUUAUCCGGAUUCACUGGGUGUAAAGGGAGCGUAGACGGCCAUGCAAGCCUGGAGUGAAAGCCCGGGGCCCAACCCCGGGACUGCUCUGGGAACUGUGCGGCUGGAGUGCGGGAGGGGCAGGCGGAAUUCCUGGUGUAGCGGUGAAAUGCGUAGAUAUCAGGAGGAACACCGGCGGCGAAGGCGGCCUGCUGGACCGCGACUGACGUUGAGGCUCGAAAGCGUGGGGAGCAAACAGGAUUAGAUACCCCGGUAC
rnacentral:rRNA from 1 species